rnacentral:rRNA from 1 species
GACGAACGCUGGCGGCGUGCCUAAUACAUGCAAGUCGAACGCAGCGGGGACGGGUUAGUAACACGUGGGUAACCUCCCAUCAGAGGGGAUAACACUUGGAAACAGGUGCUAAACCGAUAUUGAUGUAUGGACCCGGUGUGCAUUAGCGAGGUGGUGAGGGAACGGCUCACCAAGGCCACGAUGCAUAGCCGACCUGAGAGGAUGAUCAGCCACACUGGAACUGAGACACGGCCCAGACUCCUACGGGAGGCAGCAGUAGGGAAUCUUCGGCAAUGGGCGAAAGCCUGACCGAGCCACGCCGCGUGAAUGAAGAAGGUUUUCGGAUCGUAAAACUCUGUUGUUAGAGAAGCGGUAUCUAACCAAAAAGCCACGGCUAACUACGUGCCAGCAGCCGCGGUAAUAC